GGCGGGGCCGCAGCAGCUGGUUGGCCCACAGUCUCAGGGGCGCCUUCUGCUUCCUCCCCUGCGGCCGCCUCAAUGGCUUGCCGUGCCAGCUCCUCAAUGGCCUUAAAAGGACUCUCAGAUGGGCUAUUCUGUAGGAUGGAAGGUGUCCCCCAAACAUCACCUGGUAAAAAUAGAGAGCAGCAGCUAUCAGGAGAGCCAAGAAAAGGAGUUUGACGAGGAGCCGCAGGCACAAAGACACCUUCCCAGGGCCACUGUCAACGGUGUCUGUCCCUGCAACAGCUGCAGACCUGAGGAACAAGAAAAGUAGGAUCAGUGUGUGGUAACUGCAGAUUUUAACCAUAGUACAAGAGUGAGUUUUGUUCAAUGAAAGACCUGUGUGGCGCCUGUCCUCUGGCCUGACUCACCUGAGACCAGCACUCUCCUGCGAAUAUCCAUGAACUGCGAGGUUGAGGGGCUGGCGGCGGAGGAAGUGG